CGCGGGGUGGAGCAGUCUGGUAGCUCGUCGGGCUCAUAACCCGGAGGUCAGAGGUUCGAAUCCUCUCCCCGCCACCA
rnacentral:tRNA from 1 species